UGGCGGACGGGUGAGUAACGCGUUGGUGACCUACCCCAAAGUGUGGGAUAACAGUCCGAAAGGAUUGCUAAUACCGCAUGUGGUCUUCGGAUUUAGAAACUGAUGACUAAAGGAGCAAUUCGCUUUGGGAGGGACCUGCGUCCCAUCAGCUAGUUGGUGAGGUAACGGCUCACCAAGGCGACGACGGGUAGGGGACCUGAGAGGGUGGCCCCCCACAAUGGAACUGAAACACGGUCCAUACACCUACGGGUGGCAGCAGUAGGGAAUAUUGCUCAAUGGGCGAAAGCCUGAAGCAGCAACGCCGCGUGUGCGAUGAAGGCCUUCGGGUCGUAAAGCACUUUUCUGAGAGAUGAGAAAGGACAGUAUCUCAGGAACAAGUCUCGGCUAACUACGUGCCAGCAGCCGCGGUAAUACG
rnacentral:rRNA from 1 species